rnacentral:tRNA from 1 species
GGUGCUAUCGUCUAGCGGUUAGGACAAAAGAUUCUCAAUCUUUAAACCGGGGUUCGAUUCCCCGUAGCACUA